rnacentral:lncRNA from 1 species
GGGUUGCGUCCUGCGUCCUGAAUUUGGACGAAUUUAUGCUCAAUUUAACUGUGACGGUGGCCGUGGCAAAUGAUCGUCAAAUAAACAGUUCAAAGUCGCGCAGAGGUUUGUUUUCUCACAGUGUGCCUGUGACUGGUAUUUUAAAACGCUGAACAAAUGACGAUCGCAAUUCGACCGUUACGGAUUUACGCGUGAGAUUAAACUUGUGAAUGUUUUCGGCAAUUCCGUAGGUAGAGAAAUCAUGUGUUAAGCUUGCUAUUCACUUUUGAACGUUCCAUUUUCAUGUUGCCGCGAUUAUUUCGGGUAUCAGAGGUGAUAUACGAUCGUUAAACGACAUACGCAGAUAUAUAUACUUGUGUAGGUUCUCUAGUGCUGAUCGGACUCUAGGACUCCAUAAGGCCAAAAGUCAUCGCCGGCGAAACUUGUGUCUUCAGGUCGAUUAGGAGAGCUGAUUCGACUGAUCCUACAUUCUGGAAGCAUCGAAUGAUCGAAAUAAAUGGCCGCAAGAUUGAGCCAGGUUAGUGAAUACGUGAGUAGAGUGAACCAAACACCAAAUAUUGCAGAUCAGAAUACAGAAGGUGAACGGGUUAUCAUGUUAUGGACGAAAAGAAUCAGAGAUACAUGUCAUUGCAGUAGUAUUACCCACGUUCAGCAUUAAUCAUAAUGAAUUUGGACAAAUGCUACAAGGACUGCUAUGUACAACGUGUAGAGUAAUCCAAAGGAGUGUAUAGAGUGCGUCAUCUCAUUAUCCAUACUGCGGAGAUAUUACGAGAUCUGCUACAUUUAAAGUAUGGAGCAACCCGGAGAAUAGUUAAUUAAGCAGAGACAUCCGAAUAACUUCUCCAUUAUUCGGCGACGUUGGAGGCUGAUCACUUUCACUCAGUGUGGCGAGAGAGAUGGCUUAAUUAGCGCCGGAUCGAGUGGGAAGAGAAUCGCACAGUCGAUUGAUUGCGCAUGGCGACGCGUCGCCACACCGUACACACUACUACAUAUAGACUGUAUAUAUAUACCAUCAUAUAGCGUGGCGACGCGUCGCCGCACCAGAAAUCGGGAUGUUUCACAUCAAUAAGUUUUAUUGCGUUGUAUAACCCAAUGCUCAUUUUAUUUGAAUUGUUUUCGUUUGUGUGGGUCAUGAGUUUUACAUAGUAACAGGCGAGUAUCGUGAUGAGGAAUUUUCUGAAGUUCACGCAUCGUAACCAUACGAGAGGAUAUUGGAUAAUAGUUCCCGUCUACGUAGCCAGGAAACCUCCGUCAACUGGUAGCGUCACACCGUUGAUCAUUGAGCUCCGAUCGCUGAGCAAGUAGGUUAUUGCAUCAACGACCUCUUCCACCUCUGUAAAAAGCGAAGAGAAAAUUAUUCUUUGCUACUAGAGACGACUAAUAAAAUAGGGUAUAAUUUACUUUUACUCAGCGUUGAAUAACGAAUGACCGGGAAUAUCUCUAAUUAUCGGUUGUUAUAAGCCAAGUUCGCAAAAUUUUUAUUAAUAUCCCGACGACGGUUAAAUGUGUGAGAUUGUAAAAUUUCGUAAUGGUUAUUUCGUGUAUAACUACCAGCAAAACGGCCAAGCGGAAUCUUGCUCUUCAUGUUGGCAGCUUUCUUCGGAUCGCUCCAUGCUUGGCGACCCAAUUCGGUCAUUACAACAGUGGGAUUGAUUGCAUUCACUCUGAUGUUGUGGGGACCCAAUUCCAACGACAUGACUCUAGAAAAUAUUGACUAUUCAUUGUCGAAGUCUUAUUUUUCUCAUGCAACAAGCUAAUUGGUAGUUUCAUUCAUUCAUUUAAUAUAUAUAAUAAUUAUUUUGAUGAUUAGUUUGAUCGGUGUCCGGUUUGUUAUUGAAUAUUUAAAUUAUAAUGACUGGUAGUUAUGUAACGCGCCAACGCGUGUAUCGCGUGUACCGUGAGAUGUAUGACACGCGUUAGAUAACGUUCCAUCUAUCUCGCGUGAUAACGAAAUCUGCAACAAACCUUGUAAGCUGGUCAACAGCUCCUUUAGAGCAGCAGUAAACAGUGUGAUCGUGAAAAGCGGCCUGGCUAGCUUGAGAUGAAAUAUUCACGAUACUCCCGGGUUUUCCUCUUGCUAUCAAAUCCUUAGCUACGAUUUGAGAAACGUUAAUAGCAGCUUUGAAAUUUAUGUUAAAUGACUCGUCGACGUCUUCAG